UACGUAGGCACCAAGCGUUGUCCGGAUUUAUUGGGCGUAAAGAGCUCGUAGGCGGUUCGGUAAGUCGGGUGUGAAAACUUUGGGCUCAACCCAAAGCCUGCACUCGAUACUGCUGUGACUUGAGUCCGGUAGGGGAGUGGGGAAUUCCUGGUGUAGCGGUGGAAUGCGCAGAUAUCAGGAGGAACACCGGUGGCGAAGGCGCCACUCUGGGCCGGUACUGACGCUGAGGAGCGAAAGCGUGGGGAGCGAACAGG
rnacentral:rRNA from 1 species